AAUACAACUUUCAACAACGGAUCUCUUGGCUCUCGCAUCGAUGAAGAACGCAGCGAAAUGCGAUACGUAAUGUGAAUUGCAGAAUUCAGUGAAUCAUCGAAUCUUUGAACGCACCUUGCGCCCUUUGGCAUUCCGAGGGGCACACCCGUUUGAGUGUCA
rnacentral:rRNA from 1 species